rnacentral:lncRNA from 1 species
AUGAGCAUCCUCUGCACUUCAAGGCUGCUGAAAGGGAUGGCUUUGCCGCGCCGAAAAGCUCCGGGCAAAACCACAGAGGAGGAGGAGGAGGCGGUAAGCGGUGACUGCGACGAUGAAGACGACUGUGACGGGGGCUCUGGAGACGGGGAGCUGCGGGUUCGGAACCAGCUCCGGUUCUUAGCAGGUCUGGGAGCUCGAAGUACUUCACUCCACAGUGAUGUGGUGGUGAUCUUCUGUACAAAUUGGGGAGCUUAAUGAAAACUGGACAGCUGAAUGAAGCCCACUCAGGAAAUACCUGAUUAGGAACGUUUGUUAAUCUGGAUUCCUGCAUUUUGAGAUAUGGUUAUUAUUGCUUUUUGUUUUUAAUGUUGGUUUUGCUUGGACUUUGUUAUCAGCUGGCCCUCUGGUCUGUUAGAAGUGAACACCUUUUUUUUUUUUUAACCCACACACAUGCACACACAAGGUCACUAGAAGUUAAAUGAAAUGGAUUUGCAACAGAUAUGGACCCAUUAUUGACACAAAAUAAAAGACACAUGGCUAAAUCCA